UUUACUUCUCUGCCUUUUCUCUGGCCACUAUCAAGGGUAUGUUCAUAUCAGUUUAAUAUCUGUUACGUCCUCUACCCACGGGGAACAUAUAUUAAACAGAUUUUUGGGAAAGAGAAAUGGAGUGCUUGCUGCGUCUACUCCACGUACUGACCUAUUGUACUGUGUUCAGGAAUGGUGGGCUCCCC